CCCCCACCGCAUGCCCCCCAGCCAUCGGAGACAGUGACAGCGUGACAAACAGAAUCGGAAGCGUCCUUGGCCCACAGCCUGCGAUCCCACCGGUGCCGCGCCCGCUCUCCAGAGAAGUGACGUCCGCUUUAAGUUGGGUGACUACCUGCAGCGACACCCUUUUGAAAGCGUGAACCAUAGCUGUUUCUUUGAAAGCUCCAGUGAAGCCGCAGAGAAACCUGUGACCUUUAGCACAAGGCCACUUUGUGCUAAGGAACCCGCAGCGAGGGACCGGCUUUCCUGAAAGCGCCGUCGUCUCCUCUGCGGCUUGGGGAGCCUCUAGGGCUUGGACAGGCCUUGGAGCAGCCCGGCAGCACUCUUGGCGGGUGGCAGCAGCCAAGGUGUGCCCGUGGGCACGACGUUGGUCACGGCGUCUAAGAGAAGGUGCCCAGACCCUCCGGUUCCGGGGCCGGGUGGGUCGAUGAGAGACACAGCUGGGGAGCAGGGAUUCCCGUCCGAUCUUCUGGGGGUGGCUGCGAGGGCGGGUCUCAGAAGAGCUGGCACGCUCUUAGCCAGUCUCUUCCUGGCGGGUGCUCCGGGACGCUUCCUGGGCUGAGCGGGGAGCUGUCGUGGUGGAGAAGCUCCCUGAGACUCAGCUUCUAGAAAGUUCACGAAAAGCUCCGAGAAGGAACUCUUGAGCUCGGAUUGCUGGUUGGGUCUCCGAGGAGGAGGCGUGUCGGGGGCACUGCGGGAUCCCAGCCGCCCAGUCACCCAUCCGGUAAGGCCGCCCUGCUCUUCCUGCAGCAACUGCUCCAUGGCCUCCCUUUCCACACCCAGGGUGCUUCCCAUCCGUCGGAACGCUUCCCGGCGUUCCUGUCUGGCGCUUUGCAAGGCGUCUGUGAAGAGCUUUCUCAGGAGGGCCUUGUCUGCUUUUCCUUCCAGGGUGCUCACUAAGUCGGUCCACUUCUUUUGGACGUCCUCCAGCACUUCCUGUCGGGCCUCGUCUUGUCGCUGCAGUUCUCCGAUCUGCUCCUCCUGUAGGCGCGAGGUGUCUUGCACUCUCUCCAGCCGUCCCUGCAGCGACCUCAGCUUCCCUUCCAGGCCGUCUGCCUUUUGCAUCCAUUAGGCCAGGACCACCUUCAGGGACCCGACCCGGGCAGCGGCCCGCUGGCUCGCCUUCUGCAUGGCGUGGGAAGAUGACAGGAGCCUCUGCUCUAGCGCCGUGACUUUCCUCCUGAGUUGAGCCGCUCUGUCUUCUGCCUGCCGCGCUGCCCGGAGUUGCCAGUCUUCGCAUUCUGAAGCCUGCGUCCGAGACCUCCCCAGCUCCUGGCCUAAGCGCGCUUCCUUGUCCCGCAAAAGGUGAACCUCCUCCCGCAGGGCGCAGUUUUCCACUCGUUCCUGUCUCAGCGCCAGCGCCGCCUCAUCUCUCUGGUGCUGAAAGAGAAUGCUCUUUUCCUGCAUGGAGGUCACUGCAUUGAGAAGCUGGCUUAAUUCCCCAGCCUGGCCCUGUUCUUUUUCUCUCAGGAGGCACUCAAAAGCCAGAGCCUUCUUCUUCACGGAGACGCAUUCGAAUUCCUUCUCCCUCAGCAUCAUAGAGAGGCGCAUGUUCGUCUCUUGUAAGGCUUGGUUUUCGGUGUCCUUCUCCCUGGACCUUUCCAGCAGCUUUGCAUUUUCCUGUUUGACUUGGCACGCAUCCACUUCCAGAUGGACUAUUCUCUCCUUCAGGUUUGUCACCGCCUGCCUCAAAAGUUCGUUUUCGCUUGCUUGGGUUGUGAGGUUUUCCCUCAGAGAGAGGAAUUCCUCCCUCUGCGCCUCGAUUAAGAGCUCUUUGUCCUCCAGCGUGUUCUGUAAAGCCUCUUGUUUCUCACUGAGCCGCUGAAUUUCGGAAUCCGUCUGUGCGUGUCGUUCUCUCUCCAGUUCCGAGGUGGCGGCCAUCGCCUCGGACAGUCUCUGAGUCUCCUCCUGGAGGCUUCUGAUGGCUGUGUCUUUUUCCUCCGUGGCUCUCCUUAAGGCUUCCACCUCUGCUGGCGGCCCUUUCGAAGACUUGCCCAGCGCCUCGGACUUAAUUGCCUCCUGAGAGCCGGCUGCCUCGCAAGUCCGCGACGAUGCGGCGGGCGGCUGUGGUGACGUGAGGUCGGGUGGACCCAAGAGAAUCUCCUUGGCAUUGCAGAGCUGCUCCAGGCCGAGCUGCAUCUGUGCCAGUCUCUUCCCCAAGAGCCAGAGUUGGGUCGCAUCCCCUUGAGGACGGGGGAACGGGGCGGCAGAGUGCAUCUGUCGCCGACACCUCUCCUCGCUGUCCACUAAGGCCCGUGCCUCGAGUGGUGGGAGUUCUUUCUGAAGUUGGGAUGACUCCCGCUGCAGAUUGUGCACCUCGCUCAGCACCAGCCGCUGCCACUCCUCCAGCAUGUUGACCCGCUGCUUCAAUGUGUCCCAUUCCCGGAGAAGCUCCUCCAACUGAUUCGCGUCCAUGCCGCGAACCUCAUGGCCAGCGUUGGACGUUUGCCAGAUGGUCAGUAAAGUCUGACAUUUCUGGCUCAAGGCACCGAUUUCAAUGUCUUUGGCUCGGACGAGGCGUGAUAAGUGCCGGAUCGCUUCUCGAAACAUGUCCUCACCGCCGCUGUCAGAUCGAGGGCGCCGUGUCUGAUUUUCGCCUCGCAGCUUCCCGAGCUCUGCUUCUUUGGCCACCAGCAGGUCCAUCAUUGUGUGAUACACCCUUUUCAGGUGGCUGUUUUCCCUCACCUUCUCGUCGAAAACGGCCAACACGCGUUCCCUUUCCAAAGCAUAUGCUUG
ensembl:lncRNA